rnacentral:rRNA from 1 species
GAUGAACGCUGGCGGUCUGCUUAACACAUGCAAGUCGAACGAACUCUUCGGAGUGAGUGGCGGACGGGUGAGUAACGCGUGAGAAUCUGCCUGUGGGUCGGGGACAACCACUGGAAACGGUGGCUAAUACCGGAUGAGCCGAAAGGUAAAGAUUUAUUGCCCACAGAUGAGCUCGCGUCUGAUUAGCUAGUUGGUAAGGUAAAAGCGUACCAAGGCGACGAUCAGUAGCUGGUCUGAGAGGAUGAGCAGCCACACUGGGACUGAGACACGGCCCAGACUCCUACGGGAGGCAGCAGUGGGAAUUUUCCGCAAUGGGCGAAAGCCUGACGGAGCAAGACCGCGUGGGGGAGGAAGGCUCUAGGGUUGUAAACCCUUUCUUUGGGAAGAACAAAUGACGGUACCAAGGAAUCAGCCUCGGCU